rnacentral:rRNA from 1 species
GAGCGGUAUUGUUUCUUCGGAAACGAGAGAGCGGCGCACGGGUGCGGAACACGUGUGCAACCUGCCUUUAUCUGGGGGAUAGCCUUUCGAAAGGAAGAUUAAUACCCCAUAAUAUUUUGAAUGGCAUCAUUUAAAAUUGAAAACUCCGGUGGAUAGAGAUGGGCACGCGCAAGAUUAGAUAGUUGGUAGGGUAACGGCCUACCAAGUCAGUGAUCUUUAGGGGGCCUGAGAGGGUGAUCCCCCACACUGGUACUGAGACACGGACCAGACUCCUACGGGAGGCAGCAGCGAGGAAUAUUGGACAAUGGGUGAGAGCCUGAUCCAGCCAUCCCGCGUGAAGGACGACGGCCCUAUGGGUUGUAAACUUCUUUUGUACAGGGAUAAACCUUUCCACGUGCGGAAAGCUGAAGGUACUGUACGAAUAAGCACCGGCUAACUCCGUG